CGCAUAGGCUUCUUUCUUAUGUUUGUGUCUUUUCUAUAUUGUUGUGUAAUCUGCUAGUUUUCUAGUAUAUGGCAAUUAUAAUAUUGUAUAGUUAGGUAUUAGCAUGAGGAAUUCAGCUGACAAUCGGUUGAUUAAGGUAUUUAUCAAUGGGAUGGAGCCCAUCACAACAAAUAUGAUGUGACUCAAAAUUUGUUGUCCUUAUU